UCGUGGAUUGAUUUGUCUGGUUAAUUCCGAUAACGAACGAGACCUUAACCUACUAGUUAGUUGCGCAUGGGUUUUACUCAUGUCUUUGCAACUUCUUAGAGGGACAGCUGGCUUUUAGCCAGAGGAAGUUUGAGGCAAUAACA
rnacentral:rRNA from 1 species